GGGGGCGAACUGGUUUCGACGGGGAUGAAAUUCCCCAAGAAGCGAGCCGAGGUUUCCGGGUUCCUCGUAAAAAAAACUCGGGAAAAAGAUAAGUGCCAACGAAGAAUUAGCAUUAGCAGCUUAAUUUAAAAAGCUGCCGUCCUACCAGGGUUUGACCGGGGCUCUGGCUAGGGCGUGACAUAACCGGUCUAGCGGCUUUGGAUUUGCCUUUCGUCCAAAGUCGCGAAAUCUUAGAAAGGCUUGGGUUUGGAAAGCCUGUCCGUGGGCGUUCCAAAUCCGAAAUUUAAAACACGGACUGCGCUCGGAGAAGCUUGGGGGAUUUUGUCUUCGGACGCGGGUUCGAUUCCCGCCGCCUCCACCA
rnacentral:tmRNA from 1 species